ACAUGUUGUCUUUAUUUGUUAUAAUUACGCAUGAAAAAAAAUUGUCUGCCAGACUAGAUUGGAACGUGUCAAUUAUAAGAAUUCCACCAACCGCGUCCAUGUAUAGUUAGACCGUUGAAUUUAACAAGUGAAGCUGGAUCUGUAUCAUUUUACGUUUGGCUGCGUGACUGUCGGAUUUCAUGGAGCGGAUACCAAGGUUGGCUAUGCUAUAGGCAAGCAUGCAUAUACAGGGAUAGAUUAUAAUUUCAGACUUAUAUUUCUCUCUAUAUUUUCCCUCUUGACAUAUCUAAUAAAAGUGAUAUGGUAACAGGAAGACUUGACUACAUUCUUGUUUCUCCUUACAUCUCAAACGUUAAUCACACUGAAAAAUGGAGCAGCAGAGCAGAUACAAGAAAACCGUCUGUACAAGCUGGACAACAUCAUCAACGAACCAGAAACUUAAAGAAAGGUUACAUCACUUAAUCCCCAGUUUUCACAAAAGCAGCACUAGCAACAUUCCAAAGCCAAUUCAGAAAAAUACCAACAAACAGCAAGUACAAGUAGCCAACAUUGAAGAAAAUCACAACAGACAAGUCUUCCAAAAACACUUGGUUUCCUUUUUUUGAAAAGCAAAAACACUUGGUUUCCUAAGGAGGAAUAACAACAGAGCCAACACUCGAGAGCUUGUAAACUAGCUGCAUUUCUCGAACAAUCAGGCAUCACCAUCUACAUUGCAAUACCACCAUGUAAACCUCAUCAACAAUAUCCUUACAAUCAAAGAAAGAAAAAUGAAAAGUAACCAAAAUCCUUUUUUAGUUCACAGAAUUGGAACAAGUCUAAAACCAAUAUCUACAAGAAGCAAAAUUAGAAAGGUCUACGAAUUUCUUCUUUUUUUUUUUUAUCUCCAAACUUUUUUUGUGAAAAAGAAAGGAAUAGGGGUAAAAUCCAAAAGCCCCCCUCCAAUCACUUUAAAAGGGGGGGGUUUUAUAUUUUACACAAAAGAAUAGCUAAGAAUUUCAAAACCCCACACCAAAAACAAUGAAUUCAACCAAAAACCAGAGAGGAAAAGCAAUAAUGGAGCACUAAUUAACAGAACCCAACACUUAAAAAGCUCAAAAAAAAAAAAAACAAAGAGAAAAGCAAAAAUUUACCAUUUCUAAGAUAAGAAAAAAUCAACUGCAAACACCUUCAACGGACAAGAAAUGUAAACUCCUAGACAUCCAAAGCACAAUCACCAAAUAAGGUUCAAAUCUAUAAAUUUUUACAAAGACUGAAGAAUAAAUUGGCACAAAAAUAGUCAACAAGAUCCAAAAACAAGACAUGCCAAGGGAAUCAUGACAUAUUCUCAAACAAGAGUCAAAUUCACAAUAAAAAAGGAAAGCUUACAGCCGGGAGAUGAAAAAAAUUAGGCAGAGUGAUCAUAUCAUAACGUAUAGUAAAUGCUAAAUCUGGCUCUUUUUGCAGACAAAUCAACACAUUAGAAGCAAAAAGAAAAUCGUAAUAUUGUUAAAUGUGGAAACAAGCAAGAUAACUCGUCACAAAUCAGUAGGAGAAAGGAGAGUCGAGGAUAGCCUGAAAUGGCUGGGAAGCGAGGGCUGCGGGAGACAGCCCCGACAAGAGGAGGAGACAAAACCAAUGGAGGGAAGUUGAGAGAGGAGAGGUGACAGAGGGAUUUGUCAGUGAGCCCAUAUUUGUGAGGGAGGCAAAGAUGGACAGGGGAGUGACUGUUUUGUGACUUGAGUGAAAAUUGUGUUAUGUCAGCGAGCGGACAGUGGAUACUUAAAAUAUUUUAAACUUAAAAUAACAUUUGAUUUUUUUUUUUUGGAAAAAGGUUUUACCGGCAAUUAGCUGGAGUAACCGCAUGCACAGAAACGGAUCUACAAUGGGGGCAAGGCAGUGCUUUUAUUAUCAUUGAAAUCAAAACCACCGUUUAUACUCUCUCAUCAUGCACCAGCUCUCCAUGGUGGUUAGGUUACUACAGUUGGCUAUUUUGAGAGAAAAUAUGUCCAUAAUACCAUUCAGCUUUUUCCAGAUUUUGUAUCGGUCCUCGUGACUUUUCAAAAAGGGUUUAUCAUCACGAUAAUUGCUUCAAGUGCCUCUUGCAAAGUACAGGAAAAAUACAAAGAAACAGAACGGAAUGUAACAUAAUUCAGCAAUCUUCAAACUUCCAGAUGGAUAGUUUUUGUCCCAUUUUAAUGAGGAAAUUCACAGGAAUACUCAAAAAUUGAACUCAGAUUUUUUAAUAGCCUAAGGUACAACAAAAUUCUACGCCAUUGGUGUUUCAGAAGUUACGUUUGCAGUUAAAAGUGAUAAACAUGCUUUAGCAUAUGAUAAACUUCAUACCCUCAAACCCAUUCUAUUUGGUUUUUGCUUCGAGGCAGGCAACAACUGUCUCAUUUACACUCUUCAAUUCAUACAACUAAUAUUCAGAAGUAAAACUAAAAAA